AAGCGUGCGCAGGCGGUUAUAUAAGACAGAUGUGAAAUCCCCGGGCUCAACCUGGGAACUGCAUUUGUGACUGUAUAGCUGGAGUGCGGCAGAGGGGGAUGGAAUUCCGGCGUGUAGCAGUGAAAUGCGUAGAUAUGCGGAGGAACACCGAUGGCGAAGGCAAUCCCCUGGGCCUGCACUGACGCUCAUGCACGAAAGCGUGGGGAGCAAACAGGAUUAGAUACCCUUGU
rnacentral:rRNA from 1 species